GCACGAUAGCUCAAUCGGUAGAGCAGCAGACUCGUAAUCCGGUGACCCAGGUUCGAAACCAGGUCGAUGCG
rfam:Strongylocentrotus purpuratus Contig38863_fixed, whole genome shotgun sequence.